AACCCCUCAAUGACUCAGCCUCUGCUAGGGACUGAGAAAAAGAGUCUUGCAAGGGCCAUCGAGAGAAUGCCUGGGUGAAAGCCAGAGGGCAGUGCGGGAAAACUGCAGUCCCCAUCUCCAGCGGGCCUCACAGAUUUUGCCUCCCCAAGCCUGGUUCAGUUCCCUGGGGGUAAUACGGCAAUGGCACCCCCACCCUCCCUGUGGGAGAGGGGCUUGAGUGCUGUGUAAGGGAGUCUGGGCCAGACUCUGGUUUUGAACUCUGAGGGCAGGUCCUCCUCCUCUCCAUGCACCCCGGAAUCUCCCUUCUUACCAAGCCUCCUCCUGCCGAGCCAGAUCUCUGCCUGGGGAUUCCUGCUUUCCUCCUCCCCUGUGCCCUGGGUGGGAAGUUGGCCUCUGAGGGCCGGGCCUGAGCUCCCAUCCCUCCCGCCUCACUCCCGGGGAGCCAAGACUGGGCCUGGACACACCUGGUUCUCAUUUGGGGUUAAGCUGAUGGAGACACGGCCCGCGGGCUCUCAGAGCAGCUGGUUCUCUCCCAUGGGACCUCAGUGGAAAGGGUGGGAGUCCUGGAGGCCAUGCAGGCUGCCUUUGCCCAGCCUCCUCAGACGCUGGGGUCUGUUGCAUUCUUUUUUUUUUGAGAUGAUGUCUCAGUCUGUUGCCCAGGCUGGAGUGCAGUGGUGUGAUCUCGGCUCACUGCAACCUCCGCCUCCUGGGUUUAAGAGAUUUUCCUGCCUCAGCCUCCCGAGUAGCUGGGACCUCAGGCGUCCACCACCACACCCAGCUAAUUUUUGUAUUUUUAGUAGAGACAGGGUUUUACCAUGUUGGCCGGGCUGGUCUCGAACUCCUGACCUCAAAUGAUCCCCCUGCCUCAGCCUCCCAAAGUGCUGGGAUUACAGGCGUGAGCCACUGUGCCCAGCCAAGGGUCAGUUCCAUUGUUAGGGGAUUAAUGGAUGACAUCUACUCCAGUGUGGGCUGUGUCUUGGGCUGUUCAUGAACUUAGUGGACAAACACCCUGUAUCUUACACCCAGAGUGUAUCUUACCAAUUGUCAAGCUCAAGGGGUACACA
rnacentral:lncRNA from 10 species